GUCAAGAUGGCCGAGUUGGUCCAAGGCGCCAGUUUCAGGUACUAGUCCGAAAGGGCAUGGGUUCGAAUCCCAUUCUUGACA
rnacentral:tRNA from 1 species